ACGGCGAGUGAAGCGGGAAGAGCUCAAAUUUGUAAUCUGGCACCUUCGGUGUCCGAGUUGUAAUCUCGAGAAGUGUUUUCCGCGCCGGACCGCAUACAAGUCUGUUGGAAUACAGCGUCAUAGUGGUGAGAACCCCGUAACUGAUGCGGAUGCCCGGUGCUUUGUGAUACACUUUCGAAGAGUCGAGUUGUUUGGGAAUGCAGCUCAAAUUGGGUGGUAAAUUCCAUCUAAAGCUAAAUAUUGGCGAGAGACCGAUAGCGAACAAGUACCGUGAGGGAAAGAUGAAAAGCACUUUGGAAAGAGAGUUAACAGUACGUGAAAUUGUUGGAAGGGAAACGCUUGAAGUCAGACUUGCUAUUUGGAAUUCAGCCGCAAGGUGUACUUUUCAAUUCGCAGGCCAGCAUCAGUUUUCGGGGGUGGAAAAGGGUAGAGAGAAGGUAGCAAUUUCGGUUGUGUUAUAGCUCUUUGCUGGAUUCAUCCUUGGGGACUGAGGAACGCAGUACGCUUUUUGCAAGGCUUUCGAGCUUUUCGUGCUUAGGAUGCUGGUGGAAUGGCUUUAAACGACCCGUCUUGAAACACGGACC
rnacentral:rRNA from 1 species